GACGAACGCUGGCGGCGUGCUUAACACAUGCAAGUCGAACGAUGAAGCCUAGCUUUUUGGGUGGAUUAGUGGCGAACGGGUGAGUAACACAUGAGUAACCUGCCCCCUACUCUGGGAUAAGCGCUGGAAACGGCGUCUAAUACUGGAUAUUACCUCUCAUCGCACGGUGUGUGGUGUAAAGAUUUUCCGGUUUGGGAUGGACUCGCGGCCUAUCAGCUUGAUGGUGGGGUAGUGGCUCACCAUGGCGAUGACGGGUAGCCGGCCUGAGAGGGUGACCGGCCACACUGGGACUGAGACACGGCCCAGACUCCUACGGGAGGCAGCAGUGGGGAAUAUUGCACAAUGGGCGCAAGCCUGAUGCAGCAACGCCGCGUGAGGGAUGACGGCCUUCGGGUUGUAAACCGCUUUUAGUAGGGAAGAAGCGUAAGUGACGGUACCUACAGAAAAAGCACCGGCUAACUACGUG
rnacentral:rRNA from 1 species